rnacentral:rRNA from 1 species
UGUUCAGGGGUAAACCUGUGGUUCCCGAAAGUUCGAACGGGGAGAUUCAAUUGCCUCACCGGUUAUGACCAUUUUGUAGUGUUGUAUACGAGACAUUAUAUUAUCUUAUGAUGUUUAUACAUUGUAUGAUUUAUAUAGUGCUCCUCUACUUAAUGUAUAUUGUUUGUAGCCGGAGGCGUGCACUUCUCCCCUUGUAGGGCGUCGUGACCCAUUGGGGUGUAUGUUGUCUAAGGCUUGUAAUGGAGACCGUGGCGUUAUGUUUCGGCAUUAGCGACCCGGACUUAUAAUGUCCCGACAUCUACCCGAUGGUAUGUUGUAUUGAUGGUGGGUCGCUUAUUCAGCGAGCGUUCAGACCUAUGACAAAUGUUUGUAUGAUUUUUGUGGAAAUCGGACAUGUGCCGAUUCUUCACAUAUAGUAUUGUUAGUCAUGGUGUUCUCGAACCGUUCCUUAUCAUCCGUCAACGGCGUUUAUGUUUUGGGUAAUUACAGGACCCGUCUUGAAACACGGACCAAGGAGUCUAGCAUGUGCGCAAGUCAUUGGGAUUUUAUUAAACCUAAAGGCGUAAUGAAAGUAAAUAUUUAUGAAUUUUCGUAAUUCAUUGAAUUAAGGGAAGAUGGGUAACGAUUAUAUAUGUUACCUCGCAUUCCCGGGGCGUCGCAUACUCAUUGCGAGUUGCGGCGCACCAAGAGCGUAUACGCUGGGACCCGAAAGAUGGUGAACUAUGCCUGGUCAGGAUGAAGUCAGGGGAAACCCUGAUGGAGGUCCGUAGCGAUUCUGACGUGCAAAUCGAUCGUAUGAACUGGGUAUAGGGGCGAAAGACUAAUCGAACCAUC